UCACUCUGGUUUCCCUUCAGUUACACGCAUAAAUCUUUCGCCUUUUACUAAAGAUUUCCGUGGAGGGGAACAAAUGAUGAGUCUUUAACUUAUUUUUUGUUGUACCUGGCAAUAGCCAGGUC